rnacentral:rRNA from 1 species
CCUACGGGAGGCAGCAGUGGGGAAUAUUGGACAAUGGGCGAAAGCCUGAUCCAGCAAUGCCGCGUGUGUGAAGAAGGCCUGCGGGUUGUAAAGCACUUUCAGUGGGGAAGAAAAGGCUGUGGUUAAUACCCACGGUUUUUGACGUUACCCACAGAAGAAGCACCGGCUAACUCCGUGCCAGCAGCCGCGGUAAU